rnacentral:rRNA from 2 species
UCCGUGUUUUGGCCUGGGUAGGUUUUGAUAUGGGGUAACCAAUGAAUGUUCGGCGGACGGGUGAGUAACACGUGGGCAACCUGCCUGUAAGACUGGGAUAACUUCGGGAAACCGAAGCUAAUACCGGAUAGGAUCUUCUCCUUCAUGGGAGAUGAUUGAAAGAUGGUUUCGGCUAUCACUUACAGAUGGGCCCGCGGUGCAUUAGCUAGUUGGUGAGGUAACGGCUCACCAAGGCAACGAUGCAUAGCCGACCUGAGAGGGUGAUCGGCCACACUGGGACUGAGACACGGCCCAGACUCCUACGGGAGGCAGCAGUAGGGAAUCUUCCGCAAUGGACGAAAGUCUGACGGAGCAACGCCGCGUGAGUGAUGAAGGCUUUCGGGUCGUAAAACUCUGUUGUUAGGGAAGAACAAGUACGAGAGUAACUGCUCGUACCUUGACGGUACCUAACCAGAAAGCCACGGCUAACUACGUGCCAGCAGCCGCGGUAAUACGUAGGUGGCAAGCGUUAUCCGGAAUUAUUGGGCGUAAAGCGCGCGCAGGCGGUUUCUUAAGUCUGAUGUGAAAGCCCACGGCUCAACCGUGGAGGGUCAUUGGAAACUGGGGAACUUGAGUGCAGAAGAGAAAAGCGGAAUUCCACGUGUAGCGGUGAAAUGCGUAGAGAUGUGGAGGAACACCAGUGGCGAAGGCGGCUUUUUGGUCUGUAACUGACGCUGAGGCGCGAAAGCGUGGGGAGCAAACAGGAUUAGAUACCCUGGUAGUCCACGCCGUAAACGAUGAGUGCUAAGUGUUAGAGGGUUUCCGCCCUUUAGUGCUGCAGCUAACGCAUUAAGCACUCCGCCUGGGAGUACGGUCGCAAGACUGAAACUCAAAGGAAUUGACGGGGGCCCGCACAAGCGGUGGAGCAUGUGGUUUAAUUCGAGCAACGCGAAGAACCUUACCAGGUCUUGACAUCCUCUGACACUCUAGAGAUAGAGCGUUCCCUUUCGGGGGGACAGAGUGACAGGUGGUGCAUGGUUGUCGUUCAGCUCGUGUCGCUGAGAUGU